rnacentral:rRNA from 1 species
GACGAACGCUGGCGGUGUGCUUCACACAUGCAAGUCGAACGGGGUAGCAAUACCUAGUGGCGGACGGGUGAGUAACACGUGGGAAUCUACCAUUAGAUGGGGAAUAACAGGCCGAAAGGACUGCUAAUGCCGCAUAUGUAUGUGCCUCGACAGGGGCAUAUAUGAAAGGAGUAAUCCGUCUGAUGAUGAGCCCGCGUCCGAUUAGCUAGUUGGUAGGGUAAAAGCCUACCAAGGCGACGUAUCGGUAGGUGGUCUGAGAGGAUGAAUCACCCACAAUGGGGACUGAGACACGGCCCAUUACUCCUACGGGAGGCAGCAGUUGGGGGAAUUUUUACG